UGGGGAAUAUUGGACAAUGGGCGCAAGCCUGAUCCAGCAAUACCGCGUGAGUGAUGAAGGCCUUCGGGUUGUAAAGCUCUUUUAGUAGGGAAGAUAAUGACGGUACCUACAGAAAAAGCACCGGCUAACUUCGUGCCAGCAGCCGCGGUAAUACGAAGGGUGCAAGCGUUGUUCGGAAUUAUUGGGCGUAAAGAGCACGUAGGCGGCUUGAUAAGUCGGCUGUGAAAUCCCUGGGCUCAACCUAGGAAUUGCAUCCGAAACUGUCUUGCUAGAGUUUGGUAGGGGAUAAUGGAAUUCCUAGUGUAGGGGUGAAAUCCGUAGAUAUUAGGAGGAACAUCAGUGGCGAAGGCGAUUAUCUGGACCAAUACUGACGCUAAGGUGCGAAAGCGUGGGGAGCAAA
rnacentral:rRNA from 1 species